UCCUGAUGGCUUAGUCAGUAAAGAGUCUGCUUGCAAUGCAGGAGACUCGGGUUCAAUUCCUGGGUCAGGAA
rnacentral:tRNA from 1 species